UUAAGCGACUAAGCGUACACGGUGGAUGCCCUGGCAGUCAGAGGCGAUGAAGGACGUGCUAAUCUGCGAAAAGCGCCGGCGAGGUGAUAUGAACCCUUGACCCGGCGAUGUCCGAAUGGGGAAACCCAGUGUGUUUCGACACACUAUCGUUAACUGAAUACAUAGGUUAACGAGGCGAACCGGGGGAACUGAAACAUCUAAGUACCCCGAGGAAAAGAAAUCAACCGAGAUUCCCCCAGUAGCGGCGAGCGAACGGGGAGCAGCCCGGAGUCUGAAUCAGCUUGUGUGUUAGUGGAACGGUCUGGAAAGUCCGACGGUACAGGGUGAUAGUCCCGUACACGAAAAUGCACAGGUUGUGAACUCGAAGAGUAGGGCGGGACACGUGGUAUCCUGUCUGAAUAUGGGGGGACCAUCCUCCAAGGCUAAAUACUCCUGACUGACCGAUAGUGAACCAGUACCGUGAGGGAAAGGCGAAAAGAACCCCGGCGAGGGGAGUGAAAAAGAACCUGAAACCGUGUACGUACAAGCAGUGGGAGCACCUUCGGGUGUGACUGCGUACCUUUUGUAUAAUGGGUCAGCGACUUAUAUUCUGUAGCAAGGUUAACCGUAUAGGGGAGCCGAAGGGAAACCGAGUCUUAACUGGGCGUUAAGUUGCAGGGUAUAGACCCGAAACCCGGUGAUCUAGCCAUGGGCAGGUUGAAGGUUGGGUAACACUAACUGGAGGACCGAACCGACUAAUGUUGAAAAAUUAGCGGAUGACCUGUGGCUGGGGGUGAAAGGCCAAUCAAACCGGGAGAUAGCUGGUUCUCCCCGAAAGCUAUUUAGGUAGCGCCUCGUGAACUCAUCUUCGGGGGUAGAGCACUGUUUCGGCUAGGGGGCCAUCCCGGCUUACCAACCCGAUGCAAACUACGAAUACCGAAGAAUGUUAUCACGGGAGACACACGGCGGGUGCUAACGUCCGUCGUGAAGAGGGAAACAACCCAGACCGCCAGCUAAGGUCCCAAAGUCAUGGUUAAGUGGGAAACGAUGUGGGAAGGCACAGACAGCCAGGAUGUUGGCUUAGAAGCAGCCAUCAUUUAAAGAAAGCGUAAUAGCUCACUGGUCGAGUCGGCCUGCGCGGAAGAUGUAACGGGGCUAAACCAUGCACCGAAGCUGCGGCAGCGACACUAUGUGUUGUUGGGUAGGGGAGCGUUCUGUAAGCCGUUGAAGGUGUGCUGUGAGGCAUGCUGGAGGUAUCAGAAGUGCGAAUGCUGACAUAAGUAACGAUAAAGCGGGUGAAAAGCCCGCUCGCCGGAAGACCAAGGGUUCCUGUCCAACGUUAAUCGGGGCAGGGUGAGUCGACCCCUAAGGCGAGGCCGAAAGGCGUAGUCGAUGGGAAACAGGUUAAUAUUCCUGUACUUGGUGUUACUGCGAAGGGGGGACGGAGAAGGCUAUGUCAGCCGGGCGACGGUUGUCCCGGUUUAAGCAUGUAGGCGGAGGUUCCAGGUAAAUCCGGUACCUUUUAACGCUGAGGUGUGAUGACGAGGCACUACGGUGCUGAAGUGAUAAAUGCCCUGCUUCCAGGAAAAGCCUCUAAGCAUCAGGUAACACGAAAUCGUACCCCAAACCGACACAGGUGGUCAGGUAGAGAAUACCAAGGCGCUUGAGAGAACUCGGGUGAAGGAACUAGGCAAAAUGGUGCCGUAACUUCGGGAGAAGGCACGCUGAUAGGUAGGUGAAGCCCCUGCGGGCGGAGCUGAAAUCAGUCGAAGAUACCAGCUGGCUGCAACUGUUUAUUAAAAACACAGCACUGUGCAAACACGAAAGUGGACGUAUACGGUGUGACGCCUGCCCGGUGCCGGAAGGUUAAUUGAUGGGGUUAGCGGCAACGCGAAGCUCUUGAUCGAAGCCCCGGUAAACGGCGGCCGUAACUAUAACGGUCCUAAGGUAGCGAAAUUCCUUGUCGGGUAAGUUCCGACCUGCACGAAUGGCGUAAUGAUGGCCAGGCUGUCUCCACCCGAGACUCAGUGAAAUUGAACUCGCUGUGAAGAUGCAGUGUACCCGCGGCAAGACGGAAAGACCCCGUGAACCUUUACUAUAGCUUGACACUGAACACUGGUCCUUGAUGUGUAGGAUAGGUGGGAGGCUUUGAAGCGUGGACGCCAGUCUGCGUGGAGCCAUCCUUGAAAUACCACCCUUUAAUGGCUGGUGUUCUAACGUAGACCCGUGAUCCGGGUUGCGGACAGUGUCUGGUGGGUAGUUUGACUGGGGCGGUCUCCUCCCAAAGAGUAACGGAGGAGCACGAAGGUUGGCUAAUCCUGGUCGGACAUCAGGAGGUUAGUGCAAUGGCAUAAGCCAGCUUGACUGCGAGCGUGACGGCGCGAGCAGGUGCGAAAGCAGGUCAUAGUGAUCCGGUGGUUCUGAAUGGAAGGGCCAUCGCUCAACGGAUAAAAGGUACUCCGGGGAUAACAGGCUGAUACCGCCCAAGAGUUCAUAUCGACGGCGGUGUUUGGCACCUCGAUGUCGGCUCAUCACAUCCUGGGGCUGAAGUAGGUCCCAAGGGUAUGGCUGUUCGCCAUUUAAAGUGGUACGCGAGCUGGGUUUAGAACGUCGUGAGACAGUUCGGUCCCUAUCUGCCGUGGGCGCUGGAGAAUUGAGGGGGGCUGCUCCUAGUACGAGAGGACCGGAGUGGACGCAUCACUGGUGUUCGGGUUGUCAUGCCAAUGGCACUGCCCGGUAGCUAAAUGCGGAAGAGAUAAGUGCUGAAAGCAUCUAAGCACGAAACUUGCCCCGAGAUGAGUUCUCCCUGAGACCUUGAGUCUCCUGAAGGAACGUUGAAGACGACGACGUUGAUAGGUCGGGUGUGUAAGCGCAGCGAUGCGUUGAGCUAACCGAUACUAAUGAACCGUGAGGCUUAACCUU
rnacentral:rRNA from 1 species